GGUAAGGUGGCAGAGUUGGUUUAAUGCACUAGAUUGCUAAUCUAGCGUACAUGUUAAGUCGUGUACCGUGGGGUCGUAGCCCACCCUUACCG
rnacentral:tRNA from 1 species